UAACAAGUUUCACGAGGAGGUGGAAGGAUCGGACUUGGGCCCACACUCUCUGGCUUGUACUGGGUUCUUUCAUUCUGCUGCUUCUCACCUGGGCAAAUACUCUACUACUGGAAAAAGAAACUCCACUGUGAAUGAACAUAAAAAACAAUGAAAAAAAAGGACGUUAGAACUGAUCAUGGACACCCAGGGUGGCAAGAUUUGGAGUGUACUGAGGAGUUUUCCAGAAGCCACAGAACGCAUGCUAUCACAACAGACAGAAAACAGAAGCAAAGAGGAGAAUCCAGAUGUCUUCUAUUAAGCCAUGGAUUAAAGAGAUUUGUAGAAAUGCACACAAUCCAUUUUUUUGUGUGUUUUAGAAAAUAGAGUUAUUGUUCAUAGGAAACUCGGUUAUGCAUACAUACAAUGGAUUUAUUCAAUAAAUAUAUAUUAAAAGCA